rnacentral:rRNA from 1 species
CGGACGGGUGAGUAAUGUCUGGGAAACUGCUCGAUGGAGGGGGAUAACUACUGGAAACGGUAGCUAAUACCGCAUAACGUCGCAAGACCAAAGAGGGGGACCUUCGGGCCUCUUGCCAUCGGAUGUGCCCAGAUGGGAUUAGCUAGUAGGUGGGGUAACGGCUCACCUAGGCGACGAUCCCUAGCUGGUCUGAGAGGAUGACCAGCCACACUGGAACUGAGACACGGUCCAG